rnacentral:rRNA from 1 species
UACGUAGGGUGCGAGCGUUGUCCGGAAUUACUGGGCGUAAAGAGCUCGUAGGUGGUUUGUCACGUCGUCUGUGAAAUUCCGGGGCUCAACCCCGGACUUGCAGUGGGUACGGGCAGACUAGAGUGUGGUAGGGGAGACUGGAAUUCCUGGUGUAGCGGUAGAAUGCGCAGAUAUCAGGAGGAAUACCAAUGGCGAAGGCAGGUCUCUGGGCAGUUACUGACGCUGAGGAGCGAAAGCAUGGGUAGCGAACAGGAUUAGAUACCCU